rnacentral:rRNA from 1 species
UACGGGGGGGGUAAGCGUUGUUCGGAAUUAUUGGGCGUAAAGGGCGCGUAGGCGGUUCGGCAAGUCUCUAGUGAAAUCUCUGGGCUCAACUCAGAGUCUGCUGGGGAAACUGCCGGGCUUGAGUGUGGGAGAGGAGAGUGGAAUUCCCGGUGUAGCGGUGAAAUGCGCAGAUAGUCGGGAGGAACACCGGUGGCGAAGGCGGUUCUCUGGGCCUUACCUGACGGCUGAGGCGGCGAAAGCCAGGGGAGCGAACGGG